rnacentral:lncRNA from 1 species
CUCCAUAACCAAUGGCUUGGUCUGUGAGCUCACCAUUCGCCAGUCCUCCAGCCCCAGCUCCCUCCUCCUCCCCCUCCAUCAUUUGUCUCUGGUCCCCAGGAAGGCCUUGCAGCCCGGAGCUAUUGUGUGCUCUGGCUCUGGCAGACAGCCCCGCACAGGCCUCCCCGCCUCCCUGCUGGGCACACACCGCGGGGACAGCUUCUUUCGCCUCGCUCUCGGCGGCAGCUGUCGGCCCGCCCUCACCGGCCUCCAGUCGUUGCCUUUUAGGGCCGGGCUCGCCGUUUCCUUUGGGGAUAUGGCACGGGCCGCCGGUGUGAUUGGAAUCUAACCGACCAGGGUCCGCCAUCUUCCCACCGCCUAAGUAGGAGUCGCCCAUGGUAAGGGAGUGAAACGCAUCACGUGACGCGUCCUCCACCAAUGGCGGCGCCGCCUCGUGACGUCAACAAUAACAAACGCUGUCACAUGGAGAAAGCAGAGACUGUGGGCAAAGCUGGAUAUAGGAAGGGGACUGUGCUGUACCUCUACUGGGAGAGGGUCUACACCGGAUAUAGGAGGGGGACUGGCUGUACCUCUACUGGGAGAGGGUCUAUACCGGAUAUAGGAGGGGGACUGGCUGUACCUCUACUGGGAGAGGGUCUAUACCGGAUAUAGGAGGGGGACUGGCUGUACCUCUACUAGUCUGCAGAUGGGAGAGGGACUGUGUGCUGGAGAGGAAUACACCGGAUAUAGAGGAGAAAGGACUAUGCUAGGAGAAGGUCUACACCCGGAUAUGGGAGGACUGGUUUUGUACCUCUACUGGAAGGUCUACUGGACAUUAUAGAGGACUGUGUACCUCUACUGGAGAGGGGUCUACACACACGGAUGGGAGGACUGUGUCCUACUGGGAGGGUCUGGACCUCUAGGAGGGACUGUGCUGGCCACCUCUGCUGGGAGAGGGUCUAUACCGGUUAUAGGAGAGAGUCUAUACCGGAUAUAGGAGGGGGGCUGUGCUGGGAGAGAGUCUAUACCGGAUAUAGGAGGGGGACUGUGCUGGGAGAGGGUCUACACCGGAUAUAGGAGAGAGUCUAUACCGGAUAUAGGAGGGAGACUGGCUGUACCUCUACUGGGAGAGGGUCUAUACCGGAUAUAUGGGAGGGACUGUGUGUGCUGGGAAGGGUCCCACAGGAUAUGGGAGAGAGGGACUGUGCUGGGAGGAGAGGUCCCACACUGCAGGAUAUGGGAGGCCCCAGCUGUACCUCUACUGGAGAGGUCUACACAGGAUAUGGAGGGAUUGCUGUACCUCUACUGGAGAGGUCUACACAGGAUAUAGGAGGCUGGCAGCCUGCCUCUCUACAGGAGGGGUCUACACCCUCGGAUAUAGGAGGGUGGCUGUGCUGGGAGAGAGUCUACACCGGAUAUAGGAGGAGGACUGUGCUGGGAGAGAGUCUACACCGGAUAUAGGAGGGGGACUGUGCUGGGAGAGGGUCUACACCGGAUAUAGGAGGGGGACUGGCUGUACCUCUACUGGGAGAGAGUCUAUACCGGAUAUAGGAGAGAGACUGGCUGUACCUCUACUGGGAGAGUGUCUACACCGGAUAUAGGAGNNNNNNNNNNNNNNNNNNNNNNNNNNNNNNNNNNNNNNNNNNNNNNNNNNNNNNNNNNNNNNNNNNNNNNNNNNNNNNNNNNNNNNNNNNNNNNNNNNNNGGUCUACACCGGAUAUAGGAGGGGGACUGUGCUGGAAGAGGGUCUAUACCGGAUAUAGGAGGGGGACUGUGCUGGGAGAGGGUCUAUACCGGAUAUAGGAGAGGGACUGUGCUGGGAGAGGGUCUAUACCAGAUAUAGGAGGGAGACUGUGCUGGGAGAGGGUCUACACCGGAUAUAGGAGGGAGACUGUGCUGUGAGAGGGUCUACACCGGAUAUAGGAGGGAGACUGUGCUGGGAGAGGGUCUACACCGGAUAUAGGAGGGGUACUGUGCUGGGAGAGGGUCUAUACCGGAUAUAGGAGAGGGACUGUGCUGGGAGAGGGUCUAUACCGGAUAUAGGAGGGAGACUGGCUGAACCUCUACUGGGAGAGGGUCUAUACCGGAUAUAGGAGAGGGUCUAUACCGGAUAUAGGAGAGGGUCUACACCGGAUAUAGAAGGGGGUCUAUACCGGAUAUAGGAAGGGGACUGUGCUUGGAGAGGGUCUACUCCGGAUAUAGGAGGGGGACUGUGCUGGGAGAGGGUCUACACCGGAUAUAGGAGGGGGACUGUGCUGGGAGAGGGUCUACACCGGAUAUAGGAGGGGGACUGUGCUGGGAGAGGGUCUACACCGGAUAUAGGAGGGGGACUGUGCUGGGAGAGGGUCUACACCGGAUAUAGGAGGGGGACUGUGCUGGGAGAGGGUCUACACCGGAUAUAGGAGGGGGACUGUGCUGGGAGAGGGUCUACACCGGAUAUAGGAGGGGGACUGUGCUGGGAGAGGGUCUAUACCGGAUAUAGGAGGGGGACUGUGCUGGGAGAGGGUCUAUACCGGAUAUAGGAGGGAGACUGGCUGUACCUCUACUGGGAGAGAGUCUACACCGGAUAUAGGAGGGGGACUGUGCUGGGAGAGGGUCUACACCGGAUAUAGGAGGGGGACUGUGGUGGGAGAGGGUCUAUACCUGAUAUAGGAGGGGGACUGUGCUGGGAGAGGGUCUACACCGGAUAUAGGAGGGGGACUGUGCUGGGAGAGGGUCUAUACCGGAUAUAAGAGGGGGACUGUGCUGGGAGAGGGUCUACACCGGAUAUAGGAGAGAGUCUAUACCGGAUAUAGGAGGGAGACUGGCUGUACCUCUACUGGGAGAGGGUCUAUACCAGAUAUAGGAGAGAGUCUAUACCGGAUAUAGGAGGGGGGCUGUGCUGCGAGAGAGUCUAUACCGGAUAUAGUAGGGGGACUGUGCUGGGAGAGGGUCUACACCGGAUAUAGGAGGGGGACUGUGCUGGGAGAGGGUCUAUACCGGAUAUAGGAGGGGGACUGUGCUGGGAGAGGGUCUAUACCGGAUAUAGGAGGGGGACUGUGCUGGGAGAGGGUCUAUACCGGAUAUAGGAGGGAGACUGUGCUGGGAGAGGGUCUAUACCGGAUAUAGGAGGGAGACUGUGCUGGGAUAGAGUCUACACCGGAUAUAGGAGGAGGACUGUGCUGGGAGAGAGUCUACACCGGAUAUAGGAGGGAGACUGUGCUGGGAGAGGGUCUACACCGGAUAUAGGAGGGGGACUGUGCUGGGAGAGGGUCUACACCGGAUAUAGGAGGGGGACUGUGCUGGGAGAGGGUCUACACCGGAUAUAGGAGGGGGACUGUGCUGGGAGAGGGUCUGUACCGGAUAUAGGAGGGAACUGGUGCUGGGAGAGGGUCUAUACCGGAUAUAGGAGGGGGACUGUGCUGGGAGAGGGUCUACACCGGAUAUAGGAGAGAGUCUAUACCGGAUAUAGGAGGGAGACUGGCUGUACCUCUACUGGGAGAGGGUCUAUACCAGAUAUAGGAGAGAGUCUAUACCGGAUAUAGGAGGGGGGCUGUGCUGGGAGAGAGUCUAUACCGGAUAUAGGAGGGGGACUGUGCUGGGAGAGGGUCUACACCGGAUAUAGGAGGGGGACUGUGCUGGGAGAGGGUCUAUACCGGAUAUAGGAGGGGGACUGUGCUGGGAGAGGGUCUACACCGGAUAUAGGAGGGAGACUGUGCUGGGAGAGGGUCUACACCGGAUAUAGGAGGGAGACUGUGCUGGGAGAGGGUCUACACCGGAUAUAGGAGGGGACUGUGCUGGGAGAGGGUCUACACCGGAUAUAGGAGGGGGACUGUGCUGGGAGAGGGUCUACACCGGAUAUAGGA